UCGAGGGGUAUGGUAGCAAUGCCAGAGACCGGCGCACGGGUGCGUAACGCGUAUGCAAUCUGCCUUUCACAGAGGGAUAGCCCAGAGAAAUUUGGAUUAAUACCUCAUAGCAUUAUGAAGUGGCAUCACUUUAUAAUUAAAGUCACAACGGUGAAAGAUGAGCAUGCGUCCCAUUAGCUAGUUGGUAAGGUAACGGCUUACCAAGGCUACGAUGGGUAGGGGUCCUGAGAGGGAGAUCCCCCACACUGGUACUGAGACACGGACCAGACUCCUACGGGAGGCAGCAGUGAGGAAUAUUGGUCAAUGGGCGCAAGCCUGAACCAGCCAUGCCGCGUGCAGGAUGACGGUCCUAUGGAUUGUAAACUGCUUUUGUACGGGAAGAAACCUUAUCACGUGUGAUAAAUUGACGGUACCGUAAGAAUAAGGAUCGGCUAACUCCGUGCCAGCAGCCGCGGUAAUACGGAGGAUCCAAGCGUUAUCCGGAAUCAUUGGGUUUAAAGGGUCCGUAGGCGGUUUGGUAAGUCAGUGGUGAAAGCCCAUCGCUCAACGGUGGAACGGCCAUUGAUACUGCCAGACUUGAAUUAUUAGGAAGCAACUAGAAUAUGUAGUGUAGCGGUGAAAUGCUUAGAGAUUACAUGGAAUACC
rnacentral:rRNA from 1 species